rnacentral:rRNA from 1 species
ACACGACUACAUUAGAUACCCGUGUAGUCCUAGCCGUAAACGAUACUCGCUAGGUGUCGGCCACGGUGCGACCGUUGUCGGUGCCGUAGGGAAGCCGUGAAGCGAGCCACCUGGGAAGUACGGCCGCAAGGCUGAAACUUAAGGGAAUUGGCGGGGGAGCACAACAACGGGUGGAGCUUGCGGUUUAAUUGGAUUCAACGCCGGAAAUCUUACCGGGACCGACAGCAACAUGAAGGCCAGGCUGAAGACUUUGCCGGAUUAGCUG